rnacentral:rRNA from 1 species
GAUGAACGCUGGCGGCGUGCCUAAUACAUGCAAGUCGAGCGAACGGACGAGAAGCUUGCUUCUCUGAUGUUAGCGGCGGACGGGUGAGUAACACGUGGAUAACCUACCUAUAAGACUGGGAUAACUUCGGGAAACCGGAGCUAAUACCGGAUAAUAUUUUGAACCGCAUGGUUCAAAAGUGAAAGACGGUCUUGCUGUCACUUAUAGAUGGAUCCGCGCUGCAUUAGCUAGUUGGUAAGGUAACGGCUUACCAAGGCAACGAUGCAUAGCCGACCUGAGAGGGUGAUCGGCCACACUGGAACUGAGACACGGUCCAGACUCCUACGGGAGGCAGCAGUAGGGAAUGUUCCGCAAAGGGCGAAAGCCUGACGGAGCAACGCCGCGUGAGUGAUGAAGGUCUUCGGAUCGUAAAACUCUGUUAUUAGGGAAGAACAUAUGUGUAAGUAACUGUGCACAUCUUGACGGUACCUAAUCAGAAAGCCACGGCUAACUACGUG